rnacentral:tRNA from 1 species
GGAGGUUUGGUGAAUUCAGUAUCACGGCUGGUUGAAACCCAGUAGUGCCCGGCGCGAAUCCGGGAGCCUCCGCCA